rnacentral:rRNA from 1 species
GUAGGUGGCAAGCGUUGUCCGGAAUUAUUGGGCGUAAAGCGCGCGCAGGCGGUCCUUUAAGUCUGAUGUGAAAGCCCACGGCUCAACCGUGGAGGGUCAUUGGAAACUGGGGGACUUGAGUACAGAAGAGGAAAGCGGAGUUCCAAGUGUAGCGGUGAAAUGCGUAGAGAUUUGGAGGAACACCAGUGGCGAAGGCGGCUUUCUGGUCUGUAACUGACGCUGAGGCGCGAAAGCGUGGGGAGCAAACAGGAUUAGAUACCCUGGUAGUCCACGCCGUAAACGAUGAGUGCUAAGUGUUAGGGGGUUUCCCGCCCCCUUAGUGCUGCAGCUAACGCAUUAAGCACUCCGCCUGGGGAGUACGGCCGCAAGGCUG